rnacentral:tRNA from 1 species
GGCCGGGUUCCCGAGCGGCCAAAGGGAGCAGACUGUAAAUCUGCCGUCAUCGACUUCGAAGGUUCGAAUCCUUCCCCCACCACCA